rnacentral:lncRNA from 1 species
UCUCCAUGCUCUCGCUCGCUAGCAGCCGCACAGAGGAGGAACGGCUGAGGAGAGGAAGGAAGGAGUCUAUCACAUCAUCUCUCUGUCCACAGGCUUUCCUUGGGGCUUAUGAAGAUUUCUUCUCACCAACCCCUCUUCACCCGUCGGAACCGGAAGGAUGUGUGGAUAGAUGGCUUAAGAACAAAAUGAACUGGAGUUUUUUGAGAGUCCUUUGAGGCCUGCUUGGAUAUUUCCCUCCCUUCCUCCCAAGCCACCACCUCCUUCGGUGGAAUAGAAGAUCGAACCUAGAAAUUGUACUUUCCUCAAGAUCCGCUUAAGAGAAUCUGGCUGAUGGCUUUGGUCUGAGAGUUCAGACAUCUCUUGUGCAACUAAGAAAGACCUCAUUUUCCAUUUGCUGGAUCCUCCUGGUUUGUCAUCCCUGAGGCCUGUAAGAAGCCCAUCAGGAGGUCCCCUGCGCUGGAAGGACCAUGUGAGUUCAUCCCAGAUGAUGGGUAGCACCAUGGUUUUAGCAGCUCACACAGUGGAGAACCACAUUCGCUCUGGAAGAGCUUGGCAACAUGUAUUUGGUAACACAACAAGGUCAGCUUGAGCUCUAUCCUUCUGUGGCCAUACUGAACAAAAGGAGAGAGAGAGAGAG